rnacentral:rRNA from 1 species
CGUAGGGUGCAAGCGUUGCCCGGAUUUAUUGGGCGUAAAGGGCGCGUAGGCGGCCCGGCGCGUCCGCGGUGAAAGCUCCCGGCUCAACUGGGAGAGGUCCGCGGAAACGGUCGGGCUCGAGCAAGGUAGGGGGUCGUGGAAUUCCCGGUGUAGUGGUGGAAUGCGUAGAGAUCGGGAGGAACACCAGUGGCGAAGGCGGCGACCUGGACCUGUGCUGACGCUGAGGCGCGAAAGCGUGGGGAGCGAUCCGGAUUAGAUACCCGGGUAGUCCACGCCGUAAACGAUGCACACUAGGUGUCGGGGGUAUCGACCCCCUCGGCGCCGCAGCUAACGCAUUAAGUGUGCCGCCUGGGGACUAUGGCCGCAAGGCUA